UCUCUACAAAAUUUAGAAAGAGGUAAAAUUAAAUAAUAUUCAGCUAUUUGUUCAUUUAAAUCUUUCUACCACUCCUGGUAUUGCCCUGUUUACCUCUCAGUUAAUCUGGUCCAUGGCGGGAGCCUGGCUAGCCAGGCCAUAGGUCUCUGACCAGAAGACCAUCUUACUUGGCAAAGGACACAUGGCUUCCUUCAAUGUCGAGCAUAUCAACCCAAUGUAGAAAUGACAGUGAAUAUCACAAAUGCAUUUUAGGCUUUAAAACUUUAAUUAAAUGUAGGGGCAGUUUAUGUGAUUUAUUUAAUUAUAUGCAUUCUUUCUCAAAGCACCUUAUUUUCCGUGAAAGCCCCUAUAAUGAAGGUUCCCCUGGUCACUGUAUCUGGGCAUCGCUUGGAAGGAUUUUAAGCAAGGCAAUAUAGUGCAGCGUGUUUGAAACUAAACCGAUGUGGACUGAAGUUCUGUCUCCACCACAUAUUAGCUGAAUGAUCUGGGAGGAAAAGACAGUGAGAGAGCAAGAGCAGAUUGAGAAGCAGAAGACUGAGUCACAAAAAGAGAAAAGGACAGAAAUGGAGCACCCUGGUAUCAUAAAAUAAGCUUGAACUUGGGUUAAUUCCUCUUGGACUGAAUCGUAGCAACAUAAACCAAACUUUUCAAAAAGAUUGGAUGCAAAACUUUUACGGAAACAGGAAUUUUUAUCAACAUGAAGCAGGAUUUAAU